UACAGAGGUCUCAAGCGUUGUUCGGAUUCAUUGGGCGUAAAGGGUGGCGUAGGCGGCGCGGUAAGUCGGGUGUGAAAUCUCGGAGCUUAACUCCGAAACUGCAUUCGAUACUGCCGUGCUUGAGGACUGGAGAGGAGACUGGAAUUUACGGUGUAGCGGUGAAAUGCGUAGAUAUCUGGAGGAACACCGGUGGCGAAGGCGGCAUCCUGGACCAACACUGACGCUGAGUGAGCGAAAGCCAGGGGAGCAAACGGG
rnacentral:rRNA from 1 species